rnacentral:rRNA from 1 species
GACGAACGCUGGCGGCGUGCUUAACACAUGCAAGUCGAGCGGUAAGGCCCUUUCGGGGGUACACGAGCGGCGAACGGGUGAGUAACACGUGAGCAACCUGCCCUUCUCUUUGGAAUAAGCGUUGGAAACGACGUCUAAUGCCGAAUAUGACCCCCUGUCGCAUGGUGGGGGGUGGAAAGCUCUGGCGGAGAAGGAUGGGCUCGCGGCCUAUCAGCUUGUUGGUGUGGGUAAUGGCCCACCAAGGCGACGACGGGUAGCCGGCCUGAGAGGGUGACCGGCCACACUGGGACUGAGACACGGCCCAGACUCCUACGGGAGGCAGCAGUGGGGAAUAUUGGACAAUGGGCGAAAGCCUGAUCCAGCAACGCCGCGUGAGGGAUGACGGCCUUCGGGUUGUAAACCUCUUUCAGCAGGGACGAAGCGAGAGUGACGGUACCUGCAGAAGAAGGACCGGCCAACUACGUGCCAGCCGCCGCCGUAA